CAGUAGCCGCGGUAAUACGUAGGUGGCAAGCGUUGUCCGGAAUUAUUGGGCGUAAAGGGCUCGCAGGCGGUUUCUUAAGUCUGAUGUGGAAGCCCCCGGCUCAACCGGGGAGGGUCAUUGGAAACUGGGAAACUUGAGUGCAGAAGAGGAGAGUGGAAUUCCACGUGUAGCGGUGAAAUGCGUAGAGAUGUGGAGGAACACCAGUGGCGAAGGCGACUCUCUGGUCUGUAACUGACGCUGAGGAGCGAAAGCGCGGGGAGCGAACAGGAUUAGAGACCCCUGUAGUCCCUGUCUCUUAUAC
rnacentral:rRNA from 1 species